rnacentral:rRNA from 1 species
CCUACGGGAGGCAGCAGUGAGGGAUAUUGGUCAAUGGACGAGAGUCUGAACCAGCCAAGUAGCGUGAAGGAUGACUGCCCUAUGGGUUGUAAACUUCUUUUAUAAAGGAAUAAAACGCGGCACGUGUGCCUUUUUGCAUGUACUUUAUGAUUCAGGAUCGGCUAACUCCGUGCCAGCAGCCGCGGUAAUCCGGAGGAUCCGAGCGUUAUCCGGAUUUAUUGGGUUUAAAGGGAGCGUAGAUGGGUUGUUAAGUCAGUUGUGAAAGUUUGCGGCUCAACCGUAAAAUUGCAAUUGAUACUGGCAGGCUGGAGUACAGUUGAGGCAAGCGGAAUUCGUGGUGUAGCGGUGAAAUGCUUAGAUAUCACGAAGAACCCCGAUUGCGAAGGCAGCUUACUAAACUGUGACUGACAUUGAUGCUCGAAAGUGUGGGUAUCAAACAGGAUUAGAUACCCCAGUAGUC